rnacentral:rRNA from 1 species
AUGGAGAAGGCUUCUGUUCUCGAUGAUUCACCAGAUUGGAGCACCGAUUGUGAUUGGUCCCAGCUUCAGUCCGACAUGCUCCUCCGGAUCUUUGGCACUCUCGAGAUCCCAGAUCUCUUCAGCUCAGGUGCCGUCUGUCGAUCCUGGCACCUCAUUUAUCUGGAGGCCCGUCGUUUCCGCCUGUGCUCGCCGAAACAGAGUCCCUGCCUUGUUUACUCAUCUGGCGACCGUGAUGCUGACACGGUCACCCUGCAUAACAUGUCCACCGACAAGCUUUACCACGUCACUCUAUCGGAGCCUGCCUUCCGCACACGCCAUGUCAUGGGCUCCUCCUACGGCUGGCUCAUCACUGCGGAUGAGCGGUCGAAUCUCAUACUAGUCAACCCUGCAACCCGAGCUCAGAUAGCUAUGCCUCCACCUGAAACCAUGAACAAUGUUAGACUGCGCUACACUGAAGAGGGCGUGCUAGAUGGAUAUGAUGUUCUUUUCAUGGAUCUGUUCUCUUCGGAUUUUGACACUGAAAUGGAGCCAUACCAUCUUACACUUGAAGAAGCCCACUUCUUCUUCUAUGAGAGGGUUGUUCUUUCUUGCGACCCCUCCCAAGGAAACUGCAUGGUGCUCCGAAUACAAUUGCCCAAUAGUCAACUCUCUUAUACUAGGGUUGGGGACACCAAAUGGACUUGGAUUGGUGGAAAAGGAAAUUGCUGGGAAUAUCAAGAUAUUCUGUAUAACAACAAUGAUGGUUUGUUUUAUGGUGUUCGUGGCGAGGGUCAGGUAGAUUCUAUUAACCUUAAUGGAACUUCUGCUGAAGUAAAAGUCAUUUUAAAGUCAAUCAUAUCUUACCAAGCACAUAGUAGAUAUAUUGUUCAAGCACCAUGGGGAGAUUUUUUCCAGAUAUGGAGACAUGAUAAAUCUAAUAAAGAGAAUGGGAUAACAGAAUGUGUUGCCGACAAAUUUUUUGUGUACAAGGUUGAUUUUGUUGGACAAAAGAUAAUCGAAACAAAUAACCUCCAAGAUCAUGCAAUGUUCAUUGGUUUCAACAACUCGUUCCUUCUCCCAGUGAAAGACUUUCCUGCAUUGGUUCCCAAUAGCAUCUACCACACGGAUGACUUGCUUGAUUAUAUCUACUGUCACAGAUUUAGUCUUAGGCAGGUUGUUAUUUUUAAUAUGGAAGAUGGUAGUUUCAUCGAGUUAUCGCCCCCUAGUUCAAAUUCAAGAUUGAACUGGCCACCCCCAGUUUGGAUUCAACCAUCACUUGCUUGA